UGACGUCACGUUUCUCCCCUCUCUCUCUUUUUACGCACGUACCGGUUGCACGAGGAACGGUUUGAGGAAACGGAUUUGUUGCCAGAACCGAACAAACCACUUACUAGCAAGUACAGAAUGUCUUUAUAAACCACUCCAAUAAAAGUGGGCCGAGUCACUGGCUUACUGGUGCUCUUUCAUAACGUCCCUAGGAGGGGUGCGUCACUUGAGUGGGUUGAGUCACUGAUGUGGUCUUCCUGUCUGGGCUGGCGACCCCCCCCCCCGGGUUGUGCCGUGGCGGAGAUCUUUGUGGGCUAUACCCGGCCUUGUCUCAGGAUGGUAAGUUGGAGGUUGAAGAUGUCCCUCUAGUGGUGUGGGGGCUGUGCUUUGGCAAAGUGGGUGGGGUUAUAUCUUGCCUGUUUGGCCCUGUCCGGGGGUAUCAUCGGAUGGGGCCCUCCGGUCUCCCGACCCCUCCUGUCUCAGCCUCCAGUAUUUAUGCUGCAGUAGUUUGUGUUUGGGUGGCUAGGGUCAGUCUGUUUAUGUGUCUUAUCUGGUGUCGUGUGAAUUUAAGUAUGCUCUCUCUAAUUCUUUCUUUCUUUCUCUCUCUCUAUCUCUCGGAGGACCUGAGCCCUAGGACCAUGCCUCAGGACUACCUAGCAUGAUGACUCCUUGUUGUCCCCAGUCCACCUGACCGUGCUGCUGCUCCAGUUUCAACUGUUCUGCCUGCGGCUAUGGAACCCUGACAUAUUCACUGUGAUUACUAUUAUUUGACCCUGCUGGUCAUUUAUGAACAUCUGAACAUCUUGGCCAUGUUCUGUUAUAAUCUCCACCCGGCACAGCCAGAAGAGGACUGGCCACCCCUCAUAGCCUGGUUUCACUCUAGGUUUCUUCCUAGGUUUUGGCCUUUUUAGGGAGUUUUUCCUAGCCAUUGUGCUUCUACACCUGCAUUGCUUGCUGUUUGGGUUUCUGUACAGCACUUUGAGAUAUCUUACAUCAGUAAGAAGGGCUUUUAUAAAUACAUUUGAUUUGAUUUAUCAAAGCUGUGAGGAAGUGAUGUAGUAAAUACACCCUCAGCCCUCAAAUUAAGUGGACACUUCUGAUGACGUCUGACGGGUAUAUGCACUUGCAGGGCAACGGGCGAGGGAGGAAGGAAUUCAUUUUAAAUGGACAGCCCUUGCCCAGAAAUUCGUCACUCGUUCAUCCUGCAGACUUUCGUGUUUUCAGCCACCGGUAGCUUGUGGGUGCUUUAUAUGCGCUACAGUCAAUUAUGACUGCAUGUCUACUUAUAUUAACUAUAUAAUUAUUAAUUAUACGCCUACUGUAUGAUAGCUAAUAACUUUUCUAGCUAACUAACGUUAGCCUGCCUAGUUGGAACUUCUGAAGGAAUAUUUUUUUAUUUCUACAAUUUCCAAAAGCUAACCUAACAAAAACAUUAUUACUUUUACAAGACGUGUUUGUGCAUUAGGGGCACAAUUUCUAACUUAUUUACAUUUUGUUUUUACUUACACUUGUAUGUUGACUCCAUAUUGAAGUUGAGGUUUUACGUUUUAGCUGACUUUUCUUAGCGGAUAUACAAUACUCUCGAAUUGAAUUAUGGGACGUUUCAGGCCCCAAAGUAAACAUAAUUGUACACUCGCAAACUCCCAUUAAAAAUGAGGGCUGAGGUGCUUAUGUUGCAAACUUC